GUUAAUAUAGUUUAAAAAAAAUACCGGACUGUGAAUCUGGAGAUAAGGUGUUACUACCUUUAUUUACC
rnacentral:tRNA from 1 species